GUCCCUUUGGGACAUCCGAUGAAAUUGGAACGAUGCAAAAAAAAUUAGUAUGGCCCCUGCGAAAGGAUGACACAUACAAAUUAAGAAAAAAUGAACAAAACU